CGGGGCGCAGCAGGCGCGAAAACUGCACAAUGUGGGAAACCACGAUGCGGGAAUUCCAAGUGCUGGCCUUUGCCAGCUGUUUUCCUGUCUAAAAACAGGGAGAGUAAGGGCUGGGUAAGACGGGUGCCAGCCGCCGCGGUAAUACCCGCAGCCCGAGUGGUCGUCGUUAUUAUUGGGCCUAAAACGUCCGUAGCCGGUUGCGUAAAUGCCCGGGUAAAUCGCCGCGCUUAACGUGGGAAUUCCAGGUAGACUGCGCAGCUCGGGACCGGGAGAGGCUCGAGGUACUCUUGGGGUAGAGGUGAAAUUCUGUAAUCCUAGGGGGACCACCGGUGGCGAAGGCGUCGAGCUAGAACGGGUCCGACGGUGAGGGACGAAGGCUAGGGGCGCAAACGGGAUUAGAUACCCCGGUAGUCCUAGCUGUAAACGCUGUGGUUUUGGUGUCGGGGAUCCUACGCGGGUACCCGGUGCCGGAGUGAAGAUGUUAAAACCACUGCCUGGGGAGUACGGCCGCAAGGUUGAAACUUAAAGGAAUUGGCGGGGGAGCAC
rnacentral:rRNA from 1 species